ACGAGGACCUCGCGGAGUUUGUCAGCUUUUUUUAUGUAACCGGCGAGUUCGCCGCUGGCGACGCGCCACAAUUGUCUCUUGGAGGUUUUCAAUUCCUCGGCUCCGGACCAGGACAAUUUUUGGAGUUCCAGGAAUUGCUCCCUGCUGUGCGCGUCGACGAGACCAACCUCGUAGAUAACGUAUUUGCCAGCGUAAGACUCGCCGGUCACGAAGAUAUCAUUGGAGCGGAGCGCUGGAAACAGCUGAAAAACUGAACCAUGGCGUUUCACAGAUCGUCCCCGAUCUGGAUCUCCGUCCCAAUACAUUAAACUGUAACCGGUCCCGACCGGGUUGCCAAUGUAAAUCACGUUGUACUUGUUCGUUUAGGACUCGGAUCAUAACUUCAGACUCCCCUUCUGAGAUCCCAGCGAAAAUGGACCGUUUUGGAAAAACAAACUGAAGAGAGAAGUCACGCCUGGUCCACCCUCGAGGUACAACACUACCGGAACAUUCGCUGCAUUCUCCUGCAAAAAUUUUCAAUUUUAUUCGUUAAAAAAAAAAAAUUUUCCUCAGUGCAAUCGUUCGAGUGGGAAAUUUUUAUUGAUUUUUCGAUAAAUUUUUGGCACACCAAAUUAAAACACCUUUUGAUCCAACUACCUUCAGACUUGUCCCAAAAAAUAUUCAAACAUUUUCAGUAAUGAUUUCUAUUCAUGAACGAAUUGGGAACAACUGCCAUUGACGUCGACUGGCGUUUCACUUCGUUUUGAACGUUUAAAAAAAUGUGGUAAAAUCAAUCGAAUAAAUGUCCUCAAACGUCUCAGGUGUGCGAUUGAGGGAAAAAUUCCCACAAAUAUUAUCUUUUCUGCAAAACAUUCAAAAUUCAAUCUAUUUUGUGCGUUAUUGAAGUGACUUCUUGGGUCAAGGAUUUACCUCGAAGGUAAAUGAACCAAUUCCUGAUAAUGAACAGUACAUUUGCAUCUCUGACGUCAGCCUAAUUCAAGUAGACAUUAAAAUUUUUUUGUUUUUGUACAGCGAGGCCAUUUGGACAAAAAAUUUUUCAGAGAAUUUCAAAUAACAAAAUAGAAGCUUACAGCUUUUAAAAUCGCGAAUAAAAAAAAGGCUCAAAAAUGUUUUUACCUGAGCAGGAAAAUACCAAGAAAACAAAUUCGAAUUGCAAAGUGGAUUGACCAUGAAAUAACCGGUGUAGCUCUCAACCCCGAGCAUCUCCGGAUGAUUUACUUUCGCUUCUUCUUUCACAGUCUCAGCCAGUUCAGUUUCGAGGAAGGGCGUAAGAUAAAGUGAUUCUCCAGCGCCCAGGUUGUCUUGGUUCCCUCCAAGGAGUUUCCAUCUCUAAUAAAAAUCGGAGUAGCUCGCAGCAUUCUCGGAAGUGACAACGAGACCGACGAGCAGCACUUGCGCAGCAUAUUAUUUCUUAGGAAAUUUAUUUUCUUUUCUUCCUCGUCUUUUAACUUUUAAUUUUUUUAGCAGCUCGUUCCGCAAUUACCCUCUUAGAGCGAGAAUCCGGAUGAUUCGUUCAUCCAUCUCCACCGACUUAUAAACCUCGCCAAAGUCUUUAUUGACGAUCUCAUUCGGUGAGAAGGUGAUCGAAGGGUGAACAUAACACAACAUUGAUAACUCACCGCUUAUCAGCUUCCCGAAUCGAAUGGAACCUAGAAAUAUUAUAAAUAUACAUUAAUCAACAUAAUUAAUUAUAUAAUACAACAUAAUUUCGAUCUCAUUUCCCUAAGUGAUUCUCCAAUGUAAAUUCGUUAAUUUUCAAUGGAAUGAACACGGUUUCAGUUCCGUUGGAAAACACCUAUGCAAACAAUUGAAUAAAAAUUUUGAUGAAA